rnacentral:rRNA from 1 species
UGAGCAAUCUGCCCUUCUCAUCGGAAUAAGCGUUGGAAACGACGUCUAAUGCCGAAUACGACCUCCUUUCGCAUGAUCGGAGGUGGAAAGCUCAGGCGGUCAAGGAUGGGCUCGCGGCCUAUCAGCUUGUUGGUGAGGUAAUGGCUCACCAAGGCGACGACGGGUAGCCGGCCUGAGAGGGUGACCGGCCACACUGGGACUGAGACACGGCCCAGACUCCUAGGAGG